AGUGAACGCUGGCGGUAGGCCUAACACAUGCAAGUCGAACGGCAGCACAGUAAGAGCUUGCUCUUACGGGUGGCGAGUGGCGGACGGGUGAGGAAUACAUCGGAAUCUACUUUUUCGUGGGGGAUAACGUAGGGAAACUUACGCUAAUACCGCAUACGACCUACGGGUGAAAGCAGGGGAUCUUCGGACCUUGCGCGAUUGAAUGAGCCGAUGUCGGAUUAGCUAGUUGGCGGGGUAAAGGCCUCCAAGGCGACGAUCCGUAGCUGGUCUGAGAGGAUGAUCAGCCACACUGGAACUGAGACACGGUCCAGACUCCUACGGGAGGAAGCAGUGGGGAAUAUUGGACAAUGGGCGCAAGCCUGAUCCAGCCAUACCGCGUGGGUGAAGAAGGCCUUCGGGUUGUAAAGCCCUUUUGUUGGGAAAGAAAAGCAGCAGGUUAAUACCCCGCUGUUCUGACGGUACCCAAAGAAUAAGCACCGGCUAACUUCGUG
rnacentral:rRNA from 1 species